ensembl:lncRNA
CAGAUGCAAACUAAAGCGCCCCACCGAUGCGCGUGCCGCUGAGCACAUGGAGGAGAGAGGACGCACACUUAGCAGCCUGGCUAAUGUAGCCUGUGGGUCGCAAAAUAUUGGCAAAUGAAGAACAUUUCAGAUCUGGAAAGUGGACUGACUUGCUUAAAGCGUCCUACAUGGAUGAGAGAAAAAUAUUGAGGAUGUGAGCAGUCCCUUCACCUUUUAAGAGUUAUCUUCAAAAUGGAGCUAGUUCUUUUUCCUAAGUUUCAGUCUCAGAUGAAAUUAAGUUAUACAAGUCUGGAACAAUUCCAUUUUUGGUUGAACCAGGGACGCGGGAAGUAGGGGUGCUGAGGGGGCUGCAGCACCCCGUUUUCACAUGGUUGCCAAUGCAACGCCAGCCUAAUCCUCAUGAACCCGUGACGCUAGCCCCCCCCCCAACAUGGACACACACAGCACCCCCAACCGAAAGCAUCUUCCCGCGCCCCUGGGUUGAACUGUCAGAGGAGGGGAAUUUUGCAACUCAUUGUCAAACCAUUCUUUAUUUCAUCCUUGACCUUAACUGUUCUAAAUUGAGGUCAGUCAUUUAAAGCCAGUUGCCCACUUACCAACUUGAGAUAGAGUGAUAAUGGUAGGGGAUCUCACACCUUUUUGCAGCCGAAGUCUCACCACCUACUUUUGAGGGUUUGUCACACUGCUUGUUUACAAAUAGAGAAGUGAUGAAUUAAACUUAUGCCUAUAGCAUUUCUCACUGGUUAUGUGCCAUGUAUUGCAACAUCUUUGGCAGCAAAUAAUGAAGCUUGUUAUAAAAACUGGAGGAACGUAAACCAUAACCAUGAACAACAAUCAGUCUUUGUUAAGCUAUAUUUACACUAUACACUAUAUUUGUUUGGUCGUGUAUAAUAUGUCUGCUCAGUUCUUCAGUGUGAACUGGAGGUGAGAAGGAGCUUAUUAGUCACUGCCAAGGUGCUUCAGUACCAACCACACAGAAAUUCCUAACCUUUUGUGUUCUUAUUGGCUGAAAAAAGUUAGUAGGGCCAUUAACUGUUGAGUUAAGAUGGUUAACAUCCACCCGCUGCAGACAGUUCUGAGCACCACCUGC